GGAGAAGCUUUGCGGACGGAUCCCUGGCAACUGACAGGUGCCAGACCAGUUACGCAACAGGAGGAGAGAACAGCCUCUCUCCACGCCUUAGCCCCAGAGUCCGCGAGAUGCUGAGGGGUGCAUGUAAAGAGACCAAGGCCAGGACCCAGCACCCCCUCCCAGACUUCCACUGUCUUGGCUCUAAUGCUUCCUGGACCCUGAGAGGAAUGCCCAGCUUUGUAAUGCCUCUGCACACCUGCCCUCCACAGCUGCCUGGAGUUCAAAGUGGCAUGAAAGCAGACAAAAUGCAGUGAAAUAGACCCUGGAGGGUGGUGAGACCUCCGUAGGUUAGUUUUCUCAUUUUCUGUUUUUUGUUGUUUGUGUAAUGACAGUGCUAUGAAAACAGGUGCAAGGAAGAGACCUGGGUAAGGGGCGGUCCUUCAGUGCCACACAUCCCUCCAUCCCCGCCCUCCUGGAAGCCAAAGGGUAUUGUGAGUGCGGCACAGAUAGAAGCCAAUACACUACCUUUUUAUGAGGGAAAAAAACAUGUUUAUUGGGGAGCAUUAAAUAUGUUGGAUGUGCUAAUGAGAAAAAGUUUUCUCUACAUGGACUGAAUUUUUCUGGGAGACAUUCACGAGGAAAGGUUGUAGCACUUUGUGGUUGCCUAGACUAGACACCUCUGCGAAGAAGACACUGCCGUGGGCAGUGUGGCUAUUGGCCUGGGAAGAGUGGCACGGCUGGUCCACCCUGGCAGCGACUGACUGGAGGACACACAGUCUUCUUGUGGGACCAGGAGGCGGAGCUCCUCAGGUCCAGCUGCUCGUUGGAUCUGACACUUUCCAAGGACUCUUGGUGUCUGACUUGCCUUUCCUGGACAGGACAAGUCUGGCCCUCCUGGGUGACUGGCUGGCCACAGGGUGCAUGACUCAUUUUCCCUGGCUCUGGGUAGCCAGGUUGCCCGUGGGAGUGGUAAUACCCACAUACUGGGGCUUGGAAUUCCUGUUCCUGUUUAUUUAACUUUGCGGUGUGAUGUCCUCAGAGAACUGUCAGUUUCUCCUUUACAAUCUGUCCAAUCGCUCUCAUUAGCACCUGAGCCUCAGCAUCUGCGUUCUCCAACAUGGGACCAGUGCACGAGACCCCUGUUUGUGUUCUCCAUAGGCCCUCUCAGGACGGCACUGGGGCACCUAAUAAGCCAAGUUGUCUUGGAUGGGAGGCAUGUGUGUGGGAGAAUCUUGAGGAUGGUUCUCUGACUACCUUCACUUUGGUCUUAACCUCACUAACAGCCUCUGUUUGGGGAUAUGGUUCUCCUGGGUACAGGAAAACAGUCUUUCUAUGUAGUGGGGAACUUUCACUGGUCCCUGGAACUUCUGAAAUCCCUGUAUGCACAUUUAAGUUCUGACAUUUUGUUUCCAAGUUGCCUCUAAGACUGUGGGUGGCUGAAGAGCUGGGAACUCCUUGGCCUCCCUAGACUCUUCGGCCCUCAGACUGCGGCCGGGUUCACCUCCAGCGUUGUUACCUUACCGCAGGAGUCUUGUGAGGCCUGACCCCCACUGUCCUUUCUCAGCUCAUCCCUGGCCAUUACUGAACAGGAACUCAGCUCCGGGCCACCCCUCCGGGCCUGCUGUAUAGUCCCAUUCUGCCAGGUUCUGCCCAUGACGUUCAGUGUGGGGCGCUGAAAAGGUGGCAGGCCCUCCUGUCCAAUCGGACAGGAUUUGGGGCAUCUGGCCAUCACCCGAUGGGAUCCCUUUCCAGACCUUUUCUGCACAAACAUGAGGGGAUAAGGGGAGGCCUCGCCGUGGUGGAAGCUAACUCCUUUAUUUCCACCAUCUCUCCUGGAAAGGCCUGAAGAGGUACUCCCGCAAAGUCAGUAAACAACUAUCCCGAGAAUGCCAGACACACAGGUGCCUGGGGUAGGGGGUAAGGUUGACUGCAGAAUGGGCAAGGGUUGAGCCUUUUUCACUUUAAAGACAGUUGUGGCCUUAAGGACCUUAAGGAGUACACACCACCUGUGCUUCACCUGGAGCCUUGUGGUAUGUGCUUCUAGCAUGUCUCGAGGGUUUAGCUCAAGGAAGGGAGUCCCGUGGCAGGUGUUUACACAGGGUUUCAAGCCCUUUAAGAGACCUCGAUUUCUGGUUUCUGAGUAAGUGUCCAACAUGGGAAAAGCUCACCUGACAGCAAGCUGGAUGUGUACAUACUCACUGAGGUCAGACCUUCACCGGUCUUCCCCAACGUCCUUCUUGCAUGGCUUUUCAGGGUGUUUUCAACACUCUUGUCUAAUUCCCCUGGUAAAUCACUUCCUGAGUCACUCCUUGGUUGCCUCAAGUCACUUUCUGACUCCUCUGAGCUCACCCCUUGCAACCUCAUUAGGGGGCUUUCUGAGCCCCUGGAGAGAUCUUCUGGGACCCACCCCAUGAAGCCUGUCGGACCUGUGCCCAGGUCUUGCCUGAGCCGCAGUCCCACCUUCUGGUUAUUCUUGCUGCUUUCACCUGUGUGUGUGAUGGGCCUUCUAUUUCCAAGGGCCAUGCUUGCGCUGUGCCUGGUAACUCACCCUGGAGCCGCUUUAGUUCCACAGUCUCCUGGAUCUUGCCAGGCAGCUCCCACUGGUGGCGAAUGAACCGCUCUUGGAGGUGUUGCUCCAGUUUCUUCCGGAUCUCAGGGCUGUUGGGCCAUUUUUCAGGAAGCAUAGCAGCGACCCUGCUGUCCUCAGGAUGGGUGGAAGUAGGGACACUAAAGACUUCCUGAGGCUUUUUGACUCCAGAGGAUAGAGCCCGCUGACUUUCUAUUUGGUUCUGCAAUGUGGGCCAUUGUGGAUGAUGAACCUCAGUUGGGAUGAGAGAUUGUGGCUUAUCUGGAAAGUAGGGCAAGGUACUCCACAGGUCCUAAUGUAGUGUGCACAAGGUGGUAGGUUUGGGAGAGGGGAUUGGAGGUAGGCUGGCCUACGGACAUGAACCAGGACUGGUAACCCAAAUUGAGGCAUGCUUGGAAUCAAUGGUUGAUAUUGGAACUCCAGUUGGGACAGAGGCUGGGACUGGAAAGACGGUGGAGAAGUUUUGGCCUGCAUUUGAACUGGGUAAUAAUUUGAGAUUACAUCGAAUAAAAAUGUGUAGACUGUAGUGCUGAAGGGCUCUCAGAGAUGCAGGCAGUGGCCCCAAGGGAUUCACUAUGUAGGGCAGGGAGACCCCAGAAAAGCUGGUCAUAUGUCUGCUGUAGGUGGUCCUCUAAGACUUUGGGAUCUGAGGGCUGCUGAGGACCAGGCAGCUGUUCUGGUUUGCCGUUUGUGCUGAAGGAGAGUUGGGGGUUUGUGGUGUCCUGCUCAGCACCCAGUGGUUUCAAUGAGCUCCCCUAAGAAUUCAGGUUGUAGGCUGAACCCAUUUGUUUUGGAUGUGAUCUGUCCUUUUCUUUCUCCUUAAUCUUGACUCUCUUUGUAAUUUCUGUUUCCAAGGGAUUCUGGUCAUCACAGCUUAGCAAAGGGGGGGUACCAGCCACUACCUGUAUGCCUGGGUCUCCCCAGAAUGAGGCCACUGUUUGGGACCAUACUUUGAGGAGGUGGAGAGGCUCCAGGCUUUGGCAGCUGUAUCCCACCAGGACAGGUCCACAAUGGGGAGACCAAGGCCUGAGAUGACUGGAGCAGGAGAAGCUGCCCAAGCCUUGUGUGGAGAUGGGCUCCGUGGGACAGCACCCAGUGGGAGUGCCACUGGGUCACACUGAGGAAGAGUCACAUUGUAGUCUGGUGUGGGGGGAAGGCACAGGAGUCUGUCAGAGAUGGAGGGCGGGACUCUAAAUCACGGACAUGGGGGUGAAGGGGAAGAAGCAGGUGGCUGGGGUGAAAGGCUGUCCAGGGGAAGGAAGAGCUCUGGGGGUUGAGAGGCACUCAGGGAGGGGUGUGCAUGAACAACAUGCGGAGGCCGGUGGGCCUGGUGAAGCAGUGGAGGCCAGGGGCAGAGGUUGCUUCAGCAGUGGAGUCUGGCAAGCUGAAGGGGACGUGGCAGGAGAAGCACUGCCUACAAGCUCCCUGCAUGGCUGAUGGGCUCCAGUAGUCUGUGCUUUGCAUACGUCACCAGGGGGGUCUUGACAUAUAUGAUGAGAGCAGCCCUUGUCGGGGAUCCUGCUCAGUUGGCUGAAGACAGGUGGGACAAGCUGCAGCCAGGAGCACACGGGGCCAGGAGGGCCAAGGCGGCCUGGUUGGUGUGGGUAUCUGGGGCCCCUGGCUCUCCACAGCCCCCAGACUGACUUCCUGGUGCUCCUGCUGUCCCACACCCCAGGACUGUACCCACACCUGUCCCUGUGGCUGCCCCUCCGAAGUCAGCCCCAGGCUGCUGCAGCCCUGGAGUCCCACUACAGGCUCUGGGAGGAAGGACCCAAGAGAGAAGGGUGAGCUUCAUUACAUCUCUAGAUGUGACAUCAGGCUGCUUGUCAUUUCCAGUUCUUGCAGGCAACGUCCGUAACCUGGAAAGUGGAAGACAUGGUCAUGGUGGGGAAGGCAGGGACCUAGUGGUCUUUUUGGAGCCUGAGGGCCAUGUCGCUUUAGGCGAGACUUUCCGAGCUUAGAGUCUGGAGCCCAAGCCUCGGAGUCCAAGGCCGCAGGAUCCCUGACGGCAACAGCAAGACUCAUGAAGGGGAACGCUUUAGCAUUUGCAAGGUACUUCUACAUCCCUUAACCUCUGUGACCCUCACAGCCACCCCCAGAACCACCCUUUGUGGGGGACAGGGCAGGGCCACCUUAGAGAGGCUCCUGAGGGAAGUUUAACACAUUGGUGAUGUUAAUAACCCAGAGAGUGAAGCUGCAUCUCAGCCGAGUAGUUGAAACAUAUUCUAGAAGUGUAAGUGUAUUGUUGUGCCCCGUUUCCUUGAGUCCCCCGUGUAGAGCCGCAGUCACCAGCCUCAGUCGCGAGAUGUAAGAGCAAAACAGGUCUUUAUUGCUAGUUCGAACUAGGGUCUCCGUUGACGCGGUCCAGCCACGCCUAGUCGAGAAGGUCCUGAAGUGCAGAAGGGGGGCGAAGAAAAGAAAGAAAGAGCUGACGCUCCCACACGUCGCCAGCCAGCACCCCAGCUGCAUCCCUCUGUCGCUCCUAGUUGGACUUGAACUCACAACUCUGAGAGUAAGAGUCUCAUGCUUUACCGACUGAGCUAGCUGGGCAGAUGGGGAGGGCUGAUGCUCCUUCGUGUCGCCAGCCCCUAGCCCUCUUGCUUGCCUCAGCUGCUCCAGUUCGGCUUGAACUCAUGACUCUGAGAUUAAGAGUCCCGUGCUCUACCAACUGAGCUACAGCAGGGUUCCAGUUAGUUGCUCAUGGAAUGCGUAAACAGAAUGUUCUUUGUUCUCCAUUCCCGCCACAUCGGCAAGUGGGGGAAGGGCAUACCCCGCUCCCCACACUCAGUGGCCUGUCAAAACACAGGACUCGGUCUGAGACCCUGAACAAAGUUCCCUUUUUGCUUUUAUACUGUAGCAAAAAACAGGUAGGGGCUUUCCAAGGGGGGUGGUUUAUUGUGACCUUAGCUGAUUGGCUGAGGAGGGUUGCUGGGCAAGGUUUCCGUGGGAAUGGGCUUGACUUGAGCGGGGAAACUUCUUACCCAAGAUGGAGGGACAUAGUUAUUCAAAAUGGAAGACACGAAGUGGAGGCAGGGAUCAUGUAGGGGCACACCUAUUCAAGAUGGUGGACACAAAAUGGAGUCAGGGGUCCCGCAUUCCCCCCUUUUCUUUUGUGUCUGGGUUUUCUUGUCCCACUAUGGGAAUGUGCUCUCCAGCCAUUGGGCCUGUAUAUUCCUGGAGCUCAGCCAUCCAUGAAUUCAGCUGCUGCUCAUCUCCCACCUCAAAGAUGAUGUCUGUCCGAUCCUUCACUUUCAGCACAAAGGUGUACAAGUUGUCGGGUAUCUCCAGGCUUGUGUAUCGCUGGACCUCCUGGAUGCUAGA